rnacentral:rRNA from 1 species
UCAAGCUACAAAGAGCUCAUGGUGGAUACCUAGGCACGCAGAGGCGAAGAAGGACGUAGCUACCAACGAUAUGCUCCGGGGAGCUGGAAGCAAGCAUUGAGCCGGAGGUUUCCGAAUAGGGCAACCUAAAAACGCUUUACUGAAUCAAUAGGUAAAGACGAGCGAACCUGGCAAACUGAAACAUCUUAGUAGCCAGAGGAAAAGAAAGCAAAAGCGAUUCCCUAAGUAGCGGCGAGCGAACAGGGAGCAGCCUAAACCAUUGGCUAAGGCCGAUGGGGUAGUGGGACAGCCAAAAGAGACAGUAGCGGUUAGAUGAAGUAGCUGAAAACUACACCAAAGAAGGUGAAAGUCCUGUAGUCAAAAACUGAAACUGCAACGGUUGGAUCCCGAGUAGCACGGGGCACGUGAAAUCCCGUGUGAAUCAGCCUCGACCACGAGGUAAGGCUAAAUACUACUGCGUGACCGAUAGUGAAAUAGUACCGCGAGGGAAAGGUGAAAAGAACCCCAGACAGGGGAGUGAAAUAGAACAUGAAACCAUGAGCUUACAAGCAAUGGGAGGACGAUUCAACGUCUGACCGUGUGCCUGUUGAAGAAUGAGCCGGCGACUGACAGGCUGUGGCAGGUUAAGGCAAUAGCCGAAGCCAAAGUGAAAGCGAGUCCGAAUAGGGCGAAAGUCACAGUUUGUCGGCCCGAACCCGGGUGAUCUAACCAUGUCCAGGAUGAAGCUUGGGUAAUACCAAGUGAAGGUCCGAACCGACCAACGUUGAAAAGUUGGCGGAUGAGGUGUGGUUAGGGGUGAAAUGCCAAUCGAACCCGGAGCUAGCUGGUUCUCCCCGAAAUGUGUUUAGGCGCAGCGGUUGUGGCAAGGAUUGGGGGGUAAAGCACUGUUUCGCUGCGGGCUGCGAGAGCGGUACCAAAGUGAGGCAAACUCAGAAUACUCAAUUCUCAGCAACCAGUGAGACGGUGGGGGAUAAGCUUCAUCGUCAAGAGGGAAACAGCCCAGACCGCCAGCUAAGGCCCCAAAAUGAUAACUAAGUGAUUAAGGAGGUGGGAGUGCUCGGACAACCAGGAGGUUUGCCUAGAAGCAGCCAUCCUUGAAAGAGUGCGUAAUAGCUCACUGGUCAAGCGCUCCUGCGCCGAAAAUGAACGGGGCUAAGUUAUCUGCCGAAGCUGCGGACUUGAUUUAAGUGGUAGGGGAGCGUUCUGUGUUGGGUGAAGCACUAGCGGCAAGCAGGUGUGGACGGCACAGAAGUGAGAAUGUCGGCUUAAGUAGCGCAAACUAGGGUGAGAAUCCCUAGCCCCGAAACCCUAAGGAUUCCUUCGGAAGGCUCGUCCGCGAAGGGUAAGUCAGGACCUAAGGCGAGGUCGAAAGGCGUAGUCGAUGGACAACGGGUUAAAAUUCCCGUACCGUUUCAGAUUGAUGCCGGGGGACGGAGAAGGUCAACAUGAGCCGGAGAAUGGUAGUUCCGGUGCAAGCAACUGAGGUGAAGACAGACGGAGAAAACGUUUCGAGCUGAGGUGCGAGUCCGACUGACUACGGUGAGGAAGUCAUGAAGGUCAAGCUUCCCAGAAAAGCCCGUAGCAUCAUAAAUCUGAAAUGCCUGUACUAGAAACCGACACAGGUGGGGUGGUAGAGAAUACCGAGGGGCGCGAGAUAACUCUCUCUAAGGAACUCGGCAAAAUGACCCCGUAACUUUGGGAGAAGGGGUACCACCGCAAGGUGGUCGCAGUGAAGAGGCCCAGGCGACUGUUUACCAAAAACAUAGGUCUCCGCCAAGUCGCAAGACGCAGUAUGGGGGCUGACGCCUGCCCAGUGCCGGAAGGUUAAGGAAGUUGGUCAGGAGGUAACUCUGAAGCUGGCGACCGAAGCCCCGGUGAACGGCGGCCGUAACUAUAACGGUCCUAAGGUAGCGAAAUUCCUUGUCGGGUAAGUUCCGACCUGCACGAAUGGCGUAACGAUGGCCACACUGUCUCCACCCGAGACUCAGCGAAAUUGAACUUGCUGUUAAGAUGCAGUAUACCCGCGGCUAGACGGAAAGACCCCGUGAACCUUUACUACAGCUUUGCACUGGACUUUGAAUAUAUUUGUGUAGGAUAGCUGGGAGGCUUUGAAGUGGUAGCGCUAGCUGCCAUGGAGCCGUCCUUGAAAUACCAGCCUGGUAAUGUUGAGGUUCUAACUCAGGUCCCUGAUCGGGAUCGAGGACAGUGUGUGGUGGGUAGUUUGACUGGGGCGGUCUCCUCCUAAAGCGUAACGGAGGAGCACGAAGGUGCGCUAAUCCUGGUCGGAAAUCAGGAGUUUAGUGUAAAGGCACAAGCGCGCUUGACUGCGAGACUGACAAGUCGAGCAGGUAGGAAACUAGGUCUUAGUGAUCCGGCGGUUCUGAAUGGAAGGGCCGUCGCUCAACGGAUAAAAGGUACUCCGGGGAUAACAGGCUGAUACCGCCCAAGAGUUCACAUCGACGGCGGUGUUUGGCACCUCGAUGUCGGCUCAUCGCAACCUGGGGCUGAAGUAGGUCCCAAGGGUUGGGCUGUUCGCCCAUUAAAGCGGUACGUGAGCUGGGUUCAGAACGUCGUGAGACAGUUCGGUCCAUAUCCGGUGCAGGCGCAAGAGCAUUGCGAGGAGCCUUCCUUAGUACGAGAGGACCGGGAAGGACGCACCGCUGGUGUACCUGUUAUCGUGCCAACGGUAAACGCAGGGUAGCCAAGUGCGGAGCGGAUAACCGCUGAAAGCAUCUAAGUGGGAAGCCCACCUCAAGAUGAGUGCUCUCAUGGAGUUUCCAGUAAGGUCACGGGCAGAACACCCGUUUACUAGGCAUCAGGUGGAAGAGCAGCAAUGUUUGCAGCCAAGAUGUGCUAACAGACCGAGGAG